rnacentral:rRNA from 1 species
UUUAUGGAGAGUUUGAUCCUGGCUCAGGAUGAACGCUGGCGGCGUGCCUAAUACAUGCAAGUCGAGCGAACGGACGAGAAGCUUGCUUCUCUGAUGUUAGCGGCGGACGGGUGAGUAACACGUGGAUAACCUACCUAUAAGACUGGGAUAACUUCGGGAAACCGGAGCUAAUACCGGAUAAUAUUUUGAACCGCAUGAUUCAAAAGUGAAAGACGGUCUUGCUGUCACUUAUAGAUGGAUCCGCGCUGCAUUAGCUAGUUGGUAAGGUAACGGCUUACCAAGGCAACGAUGCAUAGCCGACCUGAGAGGGUGAUCGGCCACACUGGAACUGAGACACGGUCCAGACUCCUACGGGAGGCAGCAGUAGGGAAUCUUCCGCAAUGGGCGAAAGCCUGACGGAGCAACGCCGCGUGAGUGAUGAAGGUCUUCGGAUCGUAAAACUCUGUUAUUAGGGAAGAA